rnacentral:pre_miRNA from 1 species
UGCCUUCUGUAUCCGUGCUGAGAUUUCGUCACACACAAGACCACAAGGGCUGAUGAGACUUCCAAGAUAAGUGAAGCG